UUCUCUGUGUCCAGAAGAAACCAGUCCAGUCCCAGUUUCCUGCCAGACAACCAACAUUAAUACCCUUUUGUAUAAUAAAUAUUUUAAACCAGUUUUUGUGUUCGGCAAUUUAUCAGAGUUCAAACCAAGGGUCUUAACACAGACAACCAGAUUUUGUGAACAGUUUUUCUGGACAGCUUGAAAAAUAUCUUUGUCUAACCCUUAUGUAAUUUAUAUUGCUUUUUUAUUGGCAUUUAGAUCAAAUAUGGAGAGAAAAUGGGAGGAGAUCUUUAACCUUCUUUCUGAAGGUUCCUACCCAUCAAAAUUUACAAGGGGGCAAAGUCUCAGGAAGUUUGCCUCAAAAUUUAGCAUUCGUGCUGGGAACCUGUUCUUUGGAGCCUUGCCUCAAAGGAGGGCCAUAAAAUCGAGAGAAGGCAUGGAACCUUUUCAAGGAAUUUCAUGCUUCACCCAUGGGAGGACACACUGGAAUUGUGAAAACUCGCAACUCCAUGUGUUCCAGAUUUUAUUGGCCUGGCAUGACAGCAGACAUAGAAAAAUGGGUGUCUGAAUGUGACAAGUGCCAAAGGGUUGGACCACCACUGAGAAUAGAGAAGACAUUGGAUUGCAUCGAGGUGUCACGUGUGUGGGAAUUGGUCAGAAUCGACCUGACAGGCCUGCUUCCCCAGACAUCUUCUGGCUUCCAGUACCUAUUGACAGCCACUGACUACUUCUCCAAGUGGGUGUAAGCUUUCCCUCUAGAAACCAAGUCUGCAGAGGAAGUAGCCAAAAACUUGUGCUCCAUGAUUUAUCGGCACGGUUGUCCUGAACGCAUCCUUUCAGACCAAGGAUGAGAGUUUGUGAAUCAAAUCAACAGCAGACUCUGUGAACUUCUUUCAAUUGAGAGUAGUGUCACAGCUGCAUAUCAUCCUCAGACAAACGGGUUGGAUGAAAAAACCAAUGACAACAUUAAACGGGCRCUCAGGAAACUUGUUAAUGACAGGCAGGAUGAUUGGGAUCGGUUUCUAGAGCCCACUUUGUUUUCGCUGAGGUCAAAAGUGCACACCACAACCAAACACUCACCAUUUCUCCUUAUGAAUG